rnacentral:rRNA from 1 species
UUUUUUGAGAGUUUGAUCCUGGCUCAGGAUGAACGCUAGCGGCGUGGAUAAGGCAUGCAAGUCAAACGAUCGUUCGCGCCUCACUGCGUUCGGCACGAACUCAAUUAAGCAAUUAAACAAUUAAACAAUUAAGCAAAUAAACAUAAAAUUUGUUAAAUUGUUUAAGCGAAGCGUUUAUUUAGUUGUUAAAUUGAGCGAACACCGAGCAUAGCGAGGCGUGAGCGAUAGUGGCAAACGGGUUAGGAACACGUAGAUACAUCCCACUAAGACAGGCAUAAUCCCGCGAAAGCGGGACUAAUUCCUGAUGGUCCCUGCGAGCAAUCAAAGGGUAAAGGUUUCGCAAGAUUCCACUUAGUGAUUGGUCUGCGGCCUAUCAGCUAGUUGGUGAGAUAAUAGCCCACCAAGGCAAUGACGGGUAGGCGGGGUGAGAGCCCGACCGCCAACAAGGGUAUUGAGAUACGGACCCUACUCCUACGGGAGGCAGCAGUCAAGGACCCUUCGCAAUGGCCGAAAGGCUGACGAGGCGACGCCGCGUGAAGGAUGAAGCCCUGCGGGGUGUAAACUUCUUUUAACUGAGAAUAAUUCGUGCCUCACUUUCGUUCAGCACGAACUCAAUUAAGCAAUUAAACAAUUAAACAAUUAAGCAAAUGAACAUAAAAUUUGUUAAAUUGUUUAAGCGAAGUGUUUGUUUAGUUGUUAAAUUGAACGAGUGCCGAGCGGAAGCGAGGCACGAGUGAAGGUACCAGUGGAAUAAGGGGCUGCUAAUCACGUGCCAGCAGCAGCGGUAAUACGUGAGCCCCGAGCGUUAUCCGGAUUUACUGGGCGUAAAGCGUUUGUAGGCGCCCUAUUGGGUUUUCUAUCAAAUCUCCAGGGCUUAACCUUGGAGUCGUAGAAAAAACUGGUAGGGUAGAGGACGUUAGAGGUUGAUGGAACCCUCGGUGUAGGGGUGGAAUCCGUUGAUAUCGAGGGGAACACCAAAAGCGAAGGCAUUCAACUAGAGCGAUCCUGACGCUGAGAAACGAAAGCGUGGGCAUGGAAGAGGAUUAGAUACCCUCGUACUCCACGCUGUAAAUUAUGGACACUGGCUAUUGGAAGUGUCGACCCUUUCAGUGGCGAAGCUAACGCGUUAAGUGUCCCGCCUGGGGAGUACAGCCGCAAGGCUGAAACUUAAAGGAAUAGACGGGGACCCACACAAGCGGUGGAUCACGUGGCUUAAUUCGACGAUAAGCGAGGAACCUUACCAGGGCUUGACAUACUAAUGAAAUCCCGAUGAAAGUCGGGACUACCCACAAGGACAUUAGUACAGGUGCUGCAUGGCUGUUGUCAGCAUGUGCUUUGAAGUGCUCCCUUAAAUGGGGUAACAUGCGCAACCCCUACUCUGUGUUACAAGUGUCACAGGGGACCGCCACAUCUUAUGUGGAGGAAGGUGGGGAUGACACCAAGUCAGCAUGGCCCUUUGAUGCCCUGGGCCGCACACGUGAUACAAUGGUUGGUACAGAGGGUUGCCAAGCCGCAAGGCGGAGCUAAUCCCAAAAACCAAUCGUAGUUCGGAUCGGGGGCUGAAACUCGCCCCCGUGAAGCCGGAAUCGCUAGUAAUCGCGAAUCAGCUAUGUCGCGAUGAAUAUGUUCCUGGGUCUUGUACUCACAUCGUAAAGCGUCUGGCAGUUUAUUAAUUCUAAGCAGUUAAAAUCUGCUCCCUCAUAAAUCAUCGUCUAU